rnacentral:miRNA from 1 species
UAUGGAGGUCUCUGUCUGGCU